rnacentral:lncRNA from 1 species
UCGUAAUCUGUCCAAUGAGACAAGAGCCUGACGAGAUUCUCUCACUGGUGUCUGAGGAGACUGAGGCUCAGUCAGGUUUGCCGACUCAGCGAGGCAGGGAAGGAGCAGAGCUAAGGGUUCACACCUGUCAUCUCUGCAUCAUCAUCCUGUUCACACUUCCUACUCUAUCUUCCAGCCAAACUCCUGAGAGUGUAAUUGGCGAAACCAGCAGAAUGGAGGACAGACACUGUAGUGUUGGGCUGGUGUCACACUAUGGCUGUGGGGUGACAUCUGAGGAGCAUAUUAGGAAUGUACCCGAGUAGAAAGGAACCCACGCUGGUAUUCAACUUGGAAUCAUGAUGUUUUUCAUAUACUUGAUUUCAGUCUGCCACAGUGCACCAAGACUCAGGCUGCCAGGGAUCUGGACUCUCAUGUCAAGCAUAGCCUCCUCCCCAUGGACGUCCCCUGACAGGCCUAGCACCUCUGCCCCAGUUCUGUCCAAAGCUUCCACGCACGCUCACCCAGACAUUUCUUUCUGUUGUUGAUUUGACUCUGAGCAGACCUGUGAGGAUUCGUCUGACCCCUCUGCCUGUCAGCCCAGCCUCCAUUAGAAUGAGUGAGAAAGAACUUCAAAGAGAGAAAGAACUUUUGGAAAACUGUGAGCUGGACUUCCUAUCACAGAAAACAACCCUGUGUCAACAGUGUAGCAUCCGAAGUUACGGGAAAGGUGACAGAAAGCAACAGUGCUCAGCUACUUGAGUGCCAUGUUUCUCUGGCUAGUGGAAGGGCCUCCCUCUACUCGUUUGUACAGUUCUGGAGAAGCCCCAGUGGAUUUGGGAACUUGGGUUUUGCAUCCCAAGUCAACAGAAUUAAAAUAGCAAGUGGCACUAAUGGAACUCACUAGCAAGCCACACUUGCCCAGACACUUCUUAGAAUGUAGCGGAUCCACAUCUAAGCUGUUGUUCAGUGUUGUUUCAAUAAUAGAUUUCCUUGUUCACCAAAUCUUGAAUUGAACAUUUUAAGUAUUCAAGCUUGUUUGUGCACAUCUGCAAAUAAGCAAAAAUGUAUUCUUUCUCAAUUCAGCAGCCUGAACAAACACCCAGAACUUAGGAAUUCUUACUGUUGUGGCUUUCUUUCCAUAAAAUCUCACCUGCCCCAUUCCUUACCACUGAUAGAUUAUACCAACAUCUGGAAUGAGGUCUUUUUUUAUCAUUCUGUUUACCUGGUGGUAUCCUGCAGACUUGAAAUGCAAUGAGGCUCUAGGUCAUGUUUGCCAAAUGCAACUGCAUACUGCCAUUACAUGAUUUGUGAGACUAAGUUUUAAAAUGUCAACACAGCUUCUCCCUGGACCUAUCUUGAAUACUUGCAACUGAACUCUAGUUAUCAUGUUGUAAGGAGGCCUAAUCCACCUGGAGAAGCCACGACAGUACUUCUAUGAGC